rfam:Schistosoma mansoni strain Puerto Rico chromosome 4, complete genome
AUCCGGCUGAUGAGUCCCGAAUACGACGAGACGCGCGUCCUGAAU